rnacentral:tRNA from 1 species
GUAUGGUUAGCUCAGUUGGUUAGAGCAUGGUGCUAAUAACACCAAGCUCACAGGUUCAAUACCUGCUCACUGCA